AUUGAACGCUGGCGGCAGGCCUAACACAUGCAAGUCGAACGAGUGGCGGACGGGUGAGUAAUGUAUGGGAAUCUGCCUGAUGGAGGGGGAUAACUACUGGAAACGGUAGCUAAUACCGCAUACUAUCGUAUGAUCCCAGAUGGGAUUAGCUAGUAGGUGGGGUAAAGGCUCACCUAGGCGACGAUCCCUAGCUGGUCUGAGAGGAUGACCAGCCACACUGGAACUGAGACACGGUCCAAACUCCUACGUGAGGCAGCAGUGGGGAAUAUUGCACAAUGGGCGCAAGCCUGAUGCAGCCAUGCCGCGUGUAUGAAGAGGGCCUUCGGGUUUUAAAGUACUUUCAGCGGGGAGGCGUUACCCGCAGAAGAAGCACCGGCUAACUCCGUGCCAGCAGCCGCGGUAAUUC
rnacentral:rRNA from 1 species